AACGUAGGUGGCAAGCGUUAUCCGGAUUCACUGGGCGUAAGCGCACGCAGGCGGUGAGGUAGGUAGGGCAUGAAAGCGCCUGGCUUAACUGGGCGAGGCUGUCCUAUACCACCCCACUUGAGGACAGGAGAGGGACGUGGAACUGCCGGUGUAGUGGUGAAAUGCGUAGAGAUCGGCAAGAACACCAGUGGCGAAGGCGGCGUCCUGGCCUGGUUCUGGACGCUCAGGUGCGACAGCUAGGGGAGGCGAACGGG
rnacentral:rRNA from 1 species